rnacentral:rRNA from 1 species
UACGUAGGGGGCAAGCGUUGUCCGGAAUUAUUGGGCGUAAAGAGCGCGUAGGCGGUCUGAUAAGUCGGUUGUGAAAGUCGGGGGCUCAACCCUCGGAUGCCGAUCGAUACUGUCAGGCUAGAGUCCGGAAGAGGCGAGUGGAAUUCCUGGUGUAGCGGUGAAAUGCGCAGAUAUCAGGAAGAACACCAAUGGCGAAGGCAGCUCGCUGGGACGCGACUGACGCUGAGACGCGAAAGCGUGGGGAGCAAACAGG